rnacentral:rRNA from 1 species
GUGGGGAAUAUUGGGCAAUGGGGGAAACCCUGACCCAGCAACACCGCGUGAAGGAAGAAGGCUUUCGGGUUGUAAACUUCUUUUAUGAGGGACGAAGAAGUGACGGUACCUCAUGAAUAAGCCACGGCUAACUACGUGCCAGCAGCCGCGGUAAUACGUAGGUGGCAAGCGUUGUCCGGAUUUACUGGGUGUAAAGGGCGCGUAGGCGGGAUAGCAAGUCAGGUGUGAAAUCCGGGGGCUUAACCCUCGAACUGCACUUGAAACUGUUAUUCUUGAGUGAUGGAGAGGCAAGCGGAAUUCCUAGUGUAGCGGUGAAAUGCGUAGAUAUUAGGAGGAACACCAGUGGCGAAGGCGGCUUGCUGGACAUUAACUGACGCUGAGGCGCGAAAGCGUGGGGAGCAAACAGGAUUAGAAACCCGGGUAGUCC